GUGCUCACUUCGGCAGCACGUAUACUAAAAUUGGAACUAUACAGAGAAGAUUAGCAUGACC
ensembl:snRNA RNU6-180P RNA, U6 small nuclear 180, pseudogene